UAGUGGUCGGUGGCCUUAUUAUAUUUUGUGAAAUAGACAUGAAAUUCAAAUCUAUUUGGUCCCAGAAGGACCUUCCCCAUAUUCGGGGUCCUUGACGCCAUCGAACAGCUUCCAUAACUUGCAUAGUUCCAGCAUCAUGUAGGCUCUGGCCAGAUGUACGCCUUCAUUUCCUCCGGUAUUCCGGCAGUCUUCUACCCUCUUCUGAAAUUUCUUUUCUAAUUUUAUAUACCUCGUUCCAAAUAUCCCAGUCGCUUGUUGGCGCUGACAGUCAUAUCCUUCGACUCGUCAAUUAGUUUUUGAUUGGUUUCCUGUAUCUCUUAGUGCUCAUUUUCGCAUUGCCAGAUCCUUUUGCAUAGUUGAUUGUACUUGACCUGCGCCUCGGUUUUUUUAUCUAUGAUCCCGUGACCUUGAACAAACCCGAGCUGACCCAGAUUGUUCUCAUUAUCCUCCUGUCAGCCUGAAUAGUAUGGAGUACAACAAGUAUGGUAUCUUUCUGGCUCAAUGGUAUCCCUUCCCAUGACGAUUUUGCAAUGCCACAUAUUCUGAGCUUGGCACUUGUAAGGACUAUCAUCAUCCUGAAAUUCGUCCCAAAAGUGACUCAUCUUGUCGACCCAUGGUAUAGCCUGCUUCCUAUCAGCCUGUCUCAUAACUCGGAGAGGGACAUAAAGGUAGGUUCCUCUCAAACCGGUAAGUAUCAGAAAUGGUGCAUCCCCCUGGAUCGGGCGAUGAAUUUCUGAAUAGGGGAACACUCGAACAUCUAUUGUACUUGAUCUUCAGCUAGAUUUUUGAACAACUCUAACUACCCCUUGGCGUCCUUUGGCUGGGGAAACAUAUUGAGCAUGUUGUUUGUUCUCCUUGGGUGAUAGAAGUCUAUAUGAUCAUCCCAAUCCCUUAGCUGAAUCUCUUGCCUACAUUGAACAUUUUGGAGAUGCUCCAUGAGCCAGAGCUGGAGUAGCAAAUUGCAGCUCUCGAAGUGUUUGGCUCCUUGUUAACACUUCUCCAAGGCUCGGUAUAGCUCUGCAAUCAUCAUGUGCACUAUGCUGAAUGUUUGCCCCCAAUUCCCUCCAUUAAUGUCUUGUUUACCAUAGCUAGCUUGGUGCGGAUACUUGGUUUCUUCAUUGGAAACACUAUCAUCCACAGGAAGCAAAACAUGAAGACAAAGGCCCUUCGUUGAAUAUGCCCUAAUGAUGUGAGGGCGAACUCAUUAGGAUAAGUAUGGUAGGAUUUAUUGUGAUCGUACCUCCCGUACAAAUAGUCAAACGGAAUAUACAACUCUUUCAGGCAUAUCAAAUCCGGAUUCUUCUUUGUACCCAUCAUUCUGAGGAAACCUCUACCAUUGCGGUUUUUUGGCAUUAAUAAUCCCAGAGUCUCCCAUGGUAUAUAAGCCAAUCCUCCUAUUUCUUCUAGCAGGGUGUCAUCUCAAUUUCCCCAAAGUAGAACAUAGACCUAUCACAAUCCCAGUACAGAGUAGCA
rnacentral:lncRNA from 1 species